UCCCCCUCCAGCCUGCAUUUUAAGCUGUUCCCGUGUCAUUUACACUGCCACACAACCAGUAAUGAUGUCAGGAAACUGCAAGUUUCCAGGUUAACUGCUGACUGAAGUUGACUGAAGUUCAGUGAUGUCGUGCUAGAGAAGAUCUCCUGCUAGAAGGGACCCACAAUGACAGUGAUGUCGUGCUAGAGAAGAUCUCCUGCUAGAAGGGACCCAUAAUGACAGUGAUGUCGUGCUAGAGAAGAUCUCCUGCUAGAAGGGACCCACAAUGACAGUGAUGUCGUGCUAGAGAAGAUCUCCUGCUAGAAGGGACCCACAAUGACAGUGAUGUCGUGCUAGAGAAGAUCUCCUGCUAGAAGGGACCCACAAUGACAGUGAUGUCGUGCUAGAGAAGGAUCUCCUGCUAGAAGGGACCCACAAUGACAGUGAUGUCGAGAAGAUCUCCUGCUAGAAGGGACCCACAAUGACAGUGAUGUCGUGCUAGAGAAGGAUCUCCUGCUAGAAGGGACCCACAAUGACAGUGAUGUCGUGCUAGAGAAGGAUCUCCUGCUAGGAGGGACCCACAACGACAGUGAUGUCGUGCUAGAGAAGGAUCUCCUGCUAGAAGGGACCCACAAUGACAGUGAUGUAACAGACUUUUAGGGCACAGCCAGGCAGCAGUUUAUUUACCCUGGAGGAUCAUAUGUUUGACUGCACCAUGGAGAUGAACCUAUUGAAACAUUGAUGCCUGUGUUCCAUUGAGGUAUUCCACAAGCAUGGUUUAAGCCUCACCACCUGCCUAAGUUUAUUCUCUGUGGCCACACUUUUCACUUUAAGAACAACAAGAGAAAGGAACUAUCUCUUUCUGUGUUGGUAAGUGGAAGUGCUUCACAGCUACUUACCCAUAUUUUAUGGGGAAGGUGAAACAAACUGACUGUUCUGAGAAUAUCCUUCUCUGUAGGUCUCACAGUAUGCAUGGCUCUAGAUCGGAAAUGCACCAAAAUGUGAAUACCGGUACAAAUGUAAAUAUUAAAGCAUGUAAAUGCAGGUCACAGUGUUAUA